rnacentral:rRNA from 1 species
AGCAGCCGCGGUAAUUCCAGCUCCAAUAGCGUAUAUUAAAGUUGUUGCAGUUAAAAAGCUCGUAGUUGAAUUUCGGGAUCAAUAUUUCGGUCAUGCCGUUGGUAUGCACUGUUAUCAUUGAUUUCUCACCUUCUAAAGAACCGUAAUGCCAUUAAUUUGGUGUUACGGGGAAUUAGGACUGUUACCUUGAAAAAUUAGAGUGUUUAAAGCAGGCUCACGCUUGAAUACAUUAGCAUGGAAUAAUGAAAUAGGACGUUUGAUUCUAUUUUGUUGGUUUUCUAGGAUCGACGUAAUGAUUAAUAGGGAUAGUUGGGGGCAUUAGUAUUCAAUUGUCAGAGGUGAAAUUCUUGGAUUUAUUUGAAGACUAACUACUGCGAAAGCAUUUGCCAAGGAUGUUUU